AGAAAGGGAAAACAUUUGUUCUCCAAUUAAAAGCAAAAUAUAUUUGGAAAUAUUGGUCAAAUUUUACACUUUAAAAAUUUGCCUAGGGUUUUUCUGUCAUCACCUUAUCUCAUUUGAGUGAUGAUUAGAAAUUUUUGUAGAGUCUAAUUCCAGUAAUAAUCAUUUCUCUUUGUCACUGGAGAGUCUUUCCCUCCUCAACACACAUCACAAACAUUUCUUGAUUAAACCUUCCAACAAUUCUUGGAAGGAAAUUGGGUGAUAUUUUCCGUGACUGCAUGGUCUCUGAGGAGACUAUCUAUUGGGAUAAACCAAUUACAAGGACAGGGUUGGAACCAGAUACCAACCAACCUUAUAUAAGCAGUCUCUUUCAGAUUCUACCACUGAAAUGGAUGUUCUCAAACUUCCUCAGUAUUUGGAUCAUUUUUCUCAUAUAUAAAUUUAUAAGAUAAAGCACAAUUGGCGCUGCCUGGGUUACGUGACAGCUCUUGGACGAGGGAGCAGAGAACAUCUUGAUUAAAGUCCCUACAAGGCUGUAUUCAAUGGAAGAGAUUUAAUUAUUGUGGUUGGCAUAAUAUGGUCCUUCAAACAAACCUGGACUACAGAUCAAAGCAGCUAAAAGUGUAAAUUCCACCCAAUUAACGAGACUAGUGUCUGAAAUACUUCAUACGGAUGACCAACUUCACUCGCUUUUUAAGUUAUUUGGGAUAACCUUGGUGGAGUUUUCUCCUCCGCAUCCUGAGAGACAGCUAUUCUCUGAAAUGAAUAACUCUGCAUUUGAAAGAGGUUUUUGAGAGAAGCUGGGCACUAAAACAGAUUAAGAUGAACCGAAGACACAGAAAACCAUUAUGUUCACAGAAUAAACAGUUUUAGUCAUUUAAUGUUGUAAAAAAUGUAUUCGUCUGUGACGUGCUGCUUUCACCACUAAAAGGUCUCCUGUUAAAUAUGCGCAUGUCUCCACAUUGGGCCACUGAUACCCACAGGACA
rnacentral:lncRNA from 1 species